rnacentral:tRNA from 1 species
GGGUUGCGAGCAGCAUUGGCGACUGCACCGGAAUGUAAAUCCGGCGCCCCAAGGGGCUUACGGGGUUCGACUCCCUGGCAACCCACCA